rnacentral:rRNA from 1 species
AACGAACGCUGGCGGCGGGCUCAACGCAUGCAAGUCGAGCGCCCCGCAAGGGGAGCGGCAGACGGGUGAGUAACGCGUGGGAAUCUACCCAUCUCUACGGAAUAACGCAUGGAAACGUGUGCUAAUACCGUAUACGUCCUUCGGGAGAAAGAUUUAUCGGAGAUGGAUGAGCCCGCGUUGGAUUAGCUAGUUGGUGGGGUAAAGGCCUACCAAGGCGACGGUCCAUAGCUGGUCAGAGAGGAUGAUCAGCCACACUGGGACUGAGACACGGCCCAGACUCCUACGGGAGGCAGCAGUGGGGAAUAUUGGACAAUGGGCGCAAGCCUGAUCCAGCCAUGCCGCGUGAGUGAUGAAGGCCCUAGGGUUGUAAAGCUCUUUCACCGGUGAAGAUAAUGACGGUAACCGGAGAAGAAGCCCCGGCUAACUUCGUGCCAGCCGCCGCGGUAACAC